GACGAACGCUGGCGGCGUGCUUAACACAUGCAAGUCGAACGGAAAGGCCCUGCUUGCAGGGUGCUCGAGUGGCGAACGGGUGAGUAACACGUGGGUGAUCUGCCCCUUACUUUGGGAUAAGCCUGGGAAACUGGGUCUAAUACUGGAUAGGACCAUGCUGUAGGUGGUGUGGUGGAAAGAUUAGUUUCGGUAAGGGAUGAGCUCGCGGCCUAUCAGCUUGUUGGUGGGGUACUGGCCUACCAAGGCGUCGACGGGUAGCCGGCCUGAGAGGGUGGAAGGCCAGAUGGGGACUGCGAUACGGCCCAGAAUCCUACGGGAGGCAGCAGUGGGGAAUAUUGCACAAGGGGAGCAAGCCUGAUGCAGCGACGCCGCGUGGGGGAUGACGGCCUUCGGGUUGUAAACUCCUUUCGGCCAUGACGAAGCGCUUGUGGUGACGGUAGUGGUAGAAGAAGCACCGGCUAACUACGUG
rnacentral:rRNA from 1 species